rnacentral:rRNA from 1 species
UUAGGAAUAUUCGUCAAUGGGGGAAACCCUGAACGAGCAAUGCCGCGUGAGUGAUGAAGGUCCUUUGGAUUGUAAAACUCUGUUGUAAAGGAAGAACUCUUAUUAUAGGUAAUGAUGAUAAGUUGACGGUACUUUACCAGAAAGCCCCGGCUAACUACGUGCCAGCAGCCGCGGUAAUACGUAGGGGGCGAGCGUUAUCCGGAUUUAUUGGGCGUAAAGCGUGUGUAGGCGGUUUAUUAAGUCUAAGAUUAAAGCCUGAGGCUCAACCUCAGUUCGUCUUAGAAACUGGUAGACUUGAGUGUGGUAGAGGCAAGUGGAAUUUCUAGUGUAGCGGUUAAAUGCGUAGAUAUUAGAAGGAACACCAGUGGCGAAGGCGGCUUGCUGGGCCAUUACUGACGCU